rnacentral:rRNA from 1 species
UUUAAUUGAAGAGUUUGAUCAUGGCUCAGAUUGAACGCUGGCGGCAGGCCUAACACAUGCAAGUCGAACGGUAACAGGAAUAGCUUGCUAUUUGCUGACGA